AAAUACUAUUUUAUUACAGUAAAAUUAAAAAUGUGAAUUGGCAAUCGAUUCAAACAUGCAAUUAAAUGAUAGCUAAUUUCACACCCCGCAAAUAAGCCCUUCAUAGAAGUUAAUUACGGCCAUAAAUCCCGAAAUUGAUGUCUAAUCUCAAAUUCCACCAUUACACCCAAGUCCAAUAAACAAGAAUACUUCUCAAGAAAUCCCAAAAGUGAUAUUAGAAUUGAUCUUCAAUAUAUAUCAAGCACUUUAAUCGCUUCCAUUAUCCACAGCUUACCAUCACACAGUAAGCUGUGAAUGUCCAAGGCUGGCCUCUGUUUCCUUGAGUUUGAAAACAGAGUUUUUUAGGGUUUUAGACGUGAGAAAGUAUGAAUUACUUAUUUGGAAAAUAUUCUUUAGCUCCGCAUGUUUAGCUUAGUUUGCACAGAUCGACAAAAGGCGCACCUUAUCAGCAAAUUUUCUUGAAAAUUGAAGACCAAACUCAAACUAGGUUCAAUAGCUACUAUUGGUUUGAUGGGGAAUCUUGGAGAAUACUUUCAAGUUUGCAUUAUAGUCACGGCAUUAUUUGUUUGAAACUUGCUAUACAAACAGGGGUUUGUUUGUGAUAGGGCUGAGCCCUUGAUCUGAAAAUUCAAAGUUCAGAGUCACUGUCGCAGGAACCUGUCAAAGGUCCCUGUUAGAGUAGCAAAAUUCUAUUUGUUUGCCCCUGUGUGAUGUGCUUAAUAUUACAUUUCUAAUUUACCUUGUACAUAAAUAUUGUAUACUGUAGCUUAAAGUAAACGAGAAU
rnacentral:lncRNA from 1 species